rnacentral:rRNA from 1 species
CCUACGGGAGGCAGCAGUGAGGAAUAUUGGUCAAUGGGCGCGAGCCUGAACCAGCCAAGUCGCGUGAGGGAAGACGGCCCUACGGGUUGUAAACCUCUUUUGCCGGGGAGCAACGGGCGCCACGUGUGGCGCCACUGAGAGUACACGGAGAAAAAGCAUCCGCUAACUCCGGGCCAGAAGCCGCGGUAAUACGGAGGAUGCGAGCGUUAUCCGGAUUUAGUGGGUUUAAAGGGUGCGGAGGCGGAGCGGUAAGUCAGAGGUCAAAUUGAGGGGCUCAACCCCUUCCCGCCAUUGAAACUGGCGCUCUUGAGUGGAAGAGAAGUAUGCGGAAUGCGUGGUGUAGCGGUGAAAUGCAUAGAUAUCACGCAGAACCCCGAUUGCGAAGGCAGCAUGCCGGCUUCCGACUGACGCUGAAGCACGAAAGCGUGGGGAUCGAACAGGAUUAGAUACCCGGGUAGUC